rnacentral:rRNA from 1 species
GACGAACGCUGGCGGCGUGCUUAACACAUGCAAGUCGAACGAAGAGCGAUGGACGCUUGCUUCUAUCAAUCUUAGUGGCGAACGGGUGAGUAACGCGUAAUCAACCUGCCCUUCAGAGGGGGACAACAGUUGGAAACGACUGCUAAUACCGCAUACGAUCUAAUCUCGGCAUCGAGGAUAGAUGAAAGGUGGCCUCUACAUGUAAGCUAUCACUGAAGGAGGGGAUUGCGUCUGAUUAGCUAGUUGGAGGGGUAACGGCCCACCAAGGCGAUGAUCAGUAGCCGGUCUGGGAGGAUGAACGGCCACAUUGGGACUGAGACACGGCCCAGACUCCUACGGGAGGCAGCAGUGGGGAAUCUUCCGCAAUGGACGAAAGUCUGACGGAGCAACGCCGCGUGAGUGAUGACGGCCUUCGGGUUGUAAAGCUCUGUUAAUCGGGACGAAAGGCCUUCUUGCGAAUAGUGAGAAGGAUUGACGGUACCGGAAUAGAAAGCCACGGCUAACUACGUG